UGAAAGUUUGAUUCUGUUUUUUAUUAUUACGAUUUUUUUGAGGUUGCAUGAACAUUAAGAUAUGUAUAGUUGGAUUGGUUUAAGAUCAGUCUUUAAAAAUUUACGGGAGGUAAUUAAUUUUCAGCAUAAAAUAUUAAGUAUUAAUUUAUGAAAGUAAGACUUAGUAAAAAAUUUAAAUCCGAUUAAAAUAUUGUGCCAGCAGUCGCGGUUAGACUUUGGGGUUAAGUAAUAAGUUUUGGGUUUUUGUUAAACGUUAGAGUAAAUACAUCUAAGGAUAAUUAAGGUGAAAUUUGAAUUAUUAAUUAAGUAAAUUUUGUUCCUGAAGUUAAAGCAAAAAAGAUUGAGAUAUAAACUAGGAUUAGAUACCCUACUAUACUUGAAAAUAAAUUUUACAAACCAAAAUAUUAAUAGUUAAGUUCUUAAAAUUUAAAGAAUUUGGCGGUAAUUUAGUCUUAUCAGAGGAACCUGUUUAUUAAUUCGAUAAAACUCGCAAUAUCUUGCUUACUUUUGUUUUCAGUUUGUAUACCAUCAUUAUCAGAUAAUUUUUAGAGGAUAAAACUAUUAAGUCUUUAGUUAUAAUAAAGGAAAAUUAGAUCAAGGUACAGCUAAUAAGUAAGUUUAAAUGGGUUACAAUAAAGUUUUAUUUAUAAUGGAUGAAACUAGGUAAUUAAGUUUCUGAAGGAGGAUUUGAUUGUAAUAGAAUUUUAAUAUGGUUCUAAGACAUAAGCUCUAAAUUAUGUACAUAUCGCCCGUCACUUUCACUUCUGGGUGGGAUAAGUCGUAACAUAGUAGAUUUACUGGAAAGUGAAUCUAGAUUUCG
rnacentral:ncRNA from 1 species